AGGACGAACGCUGGCGGCGUGCUUAACACAUGCAAGUCGAGCGGUAAGGCCUUUCGGGGUACACGAGCGGCGAACGGGUGAGUAACACGUGGGUGAUCUGCCCUGCACUUCGGGAUAAGCCUGGGAAACUGGGUCUAAUACCGGAUAUGACCUCCUAUCGCAUGGUGGGUGGUGGAAAGAUUUAUCGGUGCAGGAUGGGCCCGCGGCCUAUCAGCUUGUUGGUGGGGUAAUGGCCUACCAAGGCGACGACGGGUAGCCGACCUGAGAGGGUGACCGGCCACGACUGGGACUGAGACACGGCCCAGACUCCUACGGGAGGCAGCAGUGGGGAAUAUGCACAAUGGGCGAAAGCCUGAUGCAGCGACGCCGCGUGAGGAUGACGGCCUUCGGGUUGUAAACCUCUUUCAGCAGGACGAAGCGCAGGUGACGGUACCUGCAGAAGAAGCACGGCUAACUACGUGCCAGCCAGCCGC
rnacentral:rRNA from 1 species